rnacentral:rRNA from 1 species
GACGAACGCUGGCGGCGUGCUUUACACAUGCAAGUCGAACGGUGAAGGUGGAGCUUGCUCCGCCGGAUCAGUGGCGAACGGGUGAGUAACACGUGGGCAACCUGCCCCUAACUUUGGGAUAACUACUCGAAAGAGUAGCUAAUACCGGAUAUGAAGUCUGUAGGCAUCUACGGACUUGGAAAGUUUUUCGGUUAGGGAUGGGCCCGCGGCCUAUCAGCUUGUUGGUGAGGUAGUGGCUCACCAAGGCGACGACGGGUAGCCGGCCUGAGAGGGCGACCGGCCACACUGGGACUGAGACACGGCCCAGACUCCUACGGGAGGCAGCAGUGGGGAAUAUUGCGCAAUGGGCGAAAGCCUGAUGCAGCGAUGCCGCGUGAGGGAUGACGGCCUUCGGGUUGUAAACCUCUUUCAGCACCGACGAAGCGCAAGUGACGGUAGAUGCAGAAGAAGGACCGGCCAACUACGUGCCAGCCGCCGCGGUAA